AACGAACGCUGGCGGCAUGCCUAACACAUGCAAGUCGAACGAAACCUUCGGGACAAGUUGCGCACGGGUGUGUAACGCGUCGGAACCUGCCCUUAGGUUUGGAAUAACUCCCCGACAGGGGUGCUAAUACCGGAUAAUGUCUUCUGACCAAAGAUAUAUCGCAUUUGGAUGGGCACGCGUUGGUUAAGCUAUUGGCGAUGGUAAAAGCCUAUGACGGGGUCGAUCCAUAGCUGGGCAAAGAGGAUGGGCAGCCACGCGGGAACUGAGACACGGAACAGACACCUACGGGAUGCGGCGGAGGCGUAUCGUGGACAAUGGGGUAAAGCCAGAACCAGCAAUGCCGCGUAAGUCUUGAAGGCCGGAGAGAUGAAAAGCUCUUUUACCCGGGAUGAUAAUGACAGUACCGAAAGAAUAAGCUCCGGCUAACUCCGUG
rnacentral:rRNA from 1 species